rnacentral:lncRNA from 1 species
CGGCCGCGGCGGGGGCGGGCUGGGAGGGGGGGGGGGCGUCGCGGCGCGGCUGCGCGGACUCAGCGCGGCGUCGCGACGGCUGCCCCGGCCCCGGUCCCGCAGUCGCCGCAGUCGUCCCUGCCGUGCCGCGCGUCCCCGCCUCGCUGUCCCUCCGACGCCGACGCCACGAGACCACGCGCUUCCCCGGAGCCCCGCACUCCGGCCACCCUCGUCUCCCGCCGCCAAAGGGUGUGAUUCCUUUCCUUGGGACCGCAUCUCUGAUGUCAAGACGUGGUUUUGAACUAUUGAGAAACGGAAGCAUGUCCGAAACGGCAGGAGGCUGAAUCAUCGAUGGACGAAACCAGCUGAAACCUCCUGAAUCAACCCUCAUUUUUGCGCGGUUUUAGUUCGGCCGAUACCCAGCAGAGGUAAGCACUUACGUUGUAUUUUGCCGCUACUUAUCACUUCUCAUGACGAUUCUGCUCCGGCGCACAGUGCGGCCCUCUGUGGACAAAAAUAAAAAAUUCACAACUCUACAUCUGAAUAUUUUUUGUGGAGUUUGUCAUCUUAAAGAUAUUUCUGACUCUCAAUGAUGGUUCAUUUUCAAAUUUUUCGCUCAAAACUACUUUAAAUUU